rnacentral:lncRNA from 1 species
UUUUAGGCUAAGGUUUUAGCCAAUCUAUUAUCACGUUGCAUCAAUUGGAAUAAUUUAAAAUAUCGCUAUAGUAUACUUAUUAAAUAGCAAUUAAGAAAAACAUUGUUGAUUCCAAAAGUUGAAUCUAACAGGAUACAAUCGUAAAAUAAUAAUCACCCGAAAACACAAAAUGUAAUAUAAUAUGUGACUUUAUUAUAAUUUUAAAAGCAAAUGGUCAAUAGGAUGGGUAAAGUUUUAGAAGAGAGAUUAAACCACAGUGGUACCCUAGAUUAAAAAAAUGUUAAAAAAACAAUUGACUUUAUGCCCUAUGGUUUGACAAUUUUGACAAUACUUAGGCCUUCUCCAACCCAUGAGGGGCUAAACCCAAAUUUUUUUCCUCCAAAAAGUAACUAUUUGGGUUUUGCCCGGACUAAAAUAAUUUUUUCUCCUAACCCUCCGGACUCAAAUUUUAAGUCCGCAAAUUUAUUAAAUUGUUUAAGUCUUUUUUUUUUUAAUGGAUAACUUUUCUUCAUUUAAUCUUUUUAAAUAACAUCAUAAUUUAAUUUCUUGAACAAUUUGACCUAAAACAAAUUGAAAUUCCAUAAAUUUAAUUUUAUUCCAAAAGUAAACACACAACAUAAAAAAAACACACAACAUUAAAAAAAGCACACAACAUAAUUGAACACACAAAAUGAGGAUUGAAACAAUUGUCGACCUCAUUCACCAUCUCCAAAGCUCCUCUAAAGGUGAUUGAUCAAAUCAUGUCGAAGACUCUGAUGCACAUGUGGAGAUCGAACUCUAUUAUGAAGAAUCAUGUAAUCAGAGAGAGUCUGCCUAUUUUGGUGGUACUCAUAUGUAAUGCUUGACUCCAGCUCAUAUUGUCUUGCUCUCGUUGGGCUAGUUUGCACAACAUGAUUGUGGAGGAUGAGUACGAAUAUGUUGAAGAGGAAUCUAAUGAUGAGGAUACGUGUCCACAACGAUAGCCAUCAUGAUUGAGUGGAGGUUAUCCUUGCACCACAUACGUGCAGGGCCCCGAACAAUAGCCCAUCGAGCCUGUAGUAUUCCAAAUGCUCUUUCAACAUUCUUCCUAUACGCUUCUUGCAUUUGUGCAAAAAGCCUCUUCUUUGGGUUAUCAGGAGAAGAUAUGGUUUUCACUAAAGUAGCCCAACGGGGGUAGUUCCCAUCUGCCAAAUAGUAGCCCAAAUGGUAUUGAUUUCCAUUGACAAUAUAUUCAACAUGAGGAGUCACUCCAUGUACCACAUCAUUGAACAAUGGAGAACGAGCUAAAAUGUUGAUAUCAUUGUUGGAUCCAGCGGCUCCAAAAAAGGCAUGCCAAAUCCAUGUGUCGUACGAAGCCACAGCUUCUAGCACAACAGUGGUUUUUUUUUUUUUUUUUUGUUGUGACCGGCCUGCCCAAGAAGAUGGGCAAUUCUUCCAUUCUCAGUGUAUGCAAUCAUGACUUCCUAACAUGCCUGGGAAGCCUCGACUGCUUGCCUUGUGCAAUAGCUUGUAAAGGUCAGCUGGAUUUGGAAACCUGAGGUACCAUUGGCCAUACACGGCUUCAACAGCGCAACAAAACUUUCAGAGUGACUCAAGAGCUGUGCUAUCAUCCAAUCUACAGUACUCGUCAGUCGCAUUAGCUGAGCAUCCCCAUGCGAGCAUACGAAAAACAGUGGUUAACUUUUGCUCAGGGGAUAGCCCUUGUCGGACGAGC